rnacentral:snRNA from 1 species
AUAUUUUUGAUGUACUGUAACUAGCAUAAUAAAAUAGUCUGUUCUUAUCAGCUUAAUAUCUGAUACGGGUUCUAUAUGGACCCACGAUAUUAAACCUAUUUUUGGAAGUUGGCGGAGUGCUUGAAGCCUGCUUCACCUCCGCCGCAGGUCGGCCCGGUAUUGCACUACCUCCGGGAUCGGGCCCCGCUCA